GCCUGGCAUGGUGGUGCAUGCCUGUAAUCCCAGCUACUCAGGAGGCUGAGGCAGGAGAAUUGCUUGAAUCCAGGUGGCAGAGAGUGCAGUGAGCUGAGAUAGGGCCACUGAACUCCAGCCUGGGUGAUAGAGCAAGACUCUGUCUCAA
ensembl:misc_RNA Metazoa_SRP Metazoan signal recognition particle RNA